AACGAGGCCGACCUGCGGCUGAGUUACCUGCGGAAGGAUCAUUAUAGAGUUUUCUAAACUCCCAAACCCAUGUGAACUUACCAUUGUUGCCUCGGCAGAACCUACCCGGUACCUACCCUGGAACUAGCUACCCUGUAGCUACCCAGGAACGGGCUACCCUGUAACGUCCUGCCGGUGGACUUCUAAACUCUUGUUAUUUAUAGUAAUCUGAGCGUCUUAUUUUAAUAAGUCAAAACUUUC
rnacentral:misc_RNA from 1 species